rnacentral:lncRNA from 1 species
AUGUUAAGACUAGUUUAAUUUAUAAGCAUGAUAAUCUUGUUAUGUUGAACUUAAAAAUAUGAUUUAAACAUGAAUAUGUUUAAAUUAUAAAAGAUCAUCAUGUUCUUGAGCCAUGUAUAUAAUCUUUGGAAUACUUGGAGAAAUAAGGGUUUAAAUGAACUUAAAACCUAAUUUUAGAAGAUUAGUAAACUUGUUUUUUUUUAAGAUGAGUUAUACAAAAUAAUUGUCAUAAAGGUUCAUACUAAAAAGUCUUAAUUUUUGCUACAUGGAAAAGCUUAUAUACAUAAGCUCAUGAAGUGUUGAGGUUAAAUAAUGAAAAGUGUAUAUAUAUACAAGCUCAUGAAGUGUUGAGGUUAGAUAAUGAAAAGUGUAAGUUUGAUGAAUUAAGGGUGAUUUGGAAAUUGAUUGGUGAUUUAAACGCGUUUUUAUAACGUGGGAAAACGUCAUAGUUUUAGGGGAAACUAUGGCGAAUUUUUCUAAAAAUAAAAUCACGGUUAAAGAGGGAUUAAAGGGUGAUUAACAAUGUUAAACGCGAUUAGUGGUCUUAAACGUCAUUAUGGAAACUUUGAUGGGAAUAUUUAAAGUUUAAAUAUUCAAGAAGUUCUUAUGAACUUAAACUUAUUU